rnacentral:rRNA from 1 species
AUUGAACGCUGGCGGCAGGCCUAACACAUGCAAGUCGAACGAGUGGCGGACGGGUGAGUAAUGUCUGGGAAACUGCCUGAUGGAGGGGGAUAACUACUGGAAACAGUAGCUAAUACCGCAUACCAUCGGAUGUGCCCAGAUGGGAUUAGCUAGUAGGUGGGGUAACGGCUCACCUAGGCGACGAGCCCUAGCUGGUCUGAGAGGAUGACCAGCCAAACGGGAACUGAGACACGGUCCAGACUCCUACGGGAGGCAGCAGUGGGGAAUAUUGCACAAUGGGCGCAAGCCUGAUGCAGCCAUGCCGCGUGUAUGAAGAAGGCCUUCGGGUUGUAAAGUACUUUCAGCGGGGAGGCGUUACUCGCAGAAGAAGCACCGGCUAACUCCGUGCCAGCAGCCGCGGUAAUUC